rnacentral:rRNA from 1 species
CCCUUAGAUGUUCUGGGCCGCACGCGCGCUACACUGAUGCAUUCAACGAGCACCCGCUGGGCCGAGAGGUCCGGCUAAUCUUUGAACGUGCAUCGUGCUGGGGAUAGAUGAUUGCAAUUAUUCAUCUUCAACGAGGAAUUCCUAGUAAACGCAAGUCAUCAGCUUGCAUUGAUUACGUCCCUGCCCUUUGUACACACCGCCCGUCGCACCUACCGAUUGAAUGGUCCGGUGAAUAAUUCGGACUGCAGCACUGCUUGGUCUCCAGGCUUUGCAGCGGAAAGUUUAGUGAACCUUAUCACUUAGAGGAAGGAGAAGUCGUANCA